rnacentral:rRNA from 1 species
ACGUAGGUGGCAAGCGUUGUCCGGAUUUACUGGGUGUAAAGGGCGCGUAGGCGGAAUUGUAAGUCAGAUGUGAAAUACUACGGCUUAACUGUGGGGCUGCAUUUGAAACUGCGGUUCUUGAGUGAUGGAGAGGCAGGCGGAAUUCCUAGUGUAGCGGUGGAAUGCGUAGAUAUUAGGAGGAACACCAGUAGCGAAGGCGGCCUGCAGGACAUUAACUGACGCUGAUCCGCGAAAGCGUGUGGAGCAAACAG